UUUCUACUUUCUCCCCCUUUUUCUGUUCAUCCGUUCUUCAUCUCCUUCUUUCCCUCCUCCACGGUUCCUUCCCUUCCUCCCUCUCUCUCUCUCUCUCUCUCUCUCUCUCUCUCUCUCUCUCUCUCACAGGGAUCGAACUCAGGACCUUGCACUUGCGAGGCAGGGGUGGCACCACUGAGCUAAAUACCCGGCCCUCCCUUUCACUCUUAUCCCUCCCUCCUCCUCUCUCCUUCCUUCUUUUUCUCUUCUUCUCUGCCUCCCUAGUCUCUCUUUCAUUUUCUCUAUGUAUUCUUUGCUCUUUGUGAUUGUUUUAUAUUUUUCUACAAAUGUUUUUUAGAAUAGUUUUACUUCAUCUCUUUUUUAUUGAGCUGUUUUGCAACACAGAUUAUUAAUCAUUGCUUUCUGUUCAGUUGGCAGGGCCAUGGAACUACAGAAGGCACGGCACCCUAAGCACUUAUCCACACUCUCCUCUGUGAGUCCUGAACCUCAAGAUUCUGCUAAGUUGCGUCAGAGUGGGGUAGCAAAUGAAGGAACAGAUGCUGGAUACCUGCCUACCAAUUCCAUGUCUCCUGUGGCUGGGGGGGGNNNNNNNNNNNNNNNNNNNNNGGGAAAGAGAAUGAUACAGGAUUAAAACAAGUUGGAGAAACACCAGCAUCUUCAGACUCCUUGGAUGGCACACCUCGUACCUCCAAUACCAUCUUUGAUUUCCCUCCUCCUCCACUAGACCAAGUUCAGGAGGAGGAAUGUGAAGUGGAAAGGUAAUUCAAUGAGAUCGUAGAGAGGUUUAGGGCAUUGCUUAAAGUUUUUAAAAAUUGAGUACUAUUCCUGUAUUUUGCGGCAUUUUUCUUUUGUAAUGUUUUGAAAGAUCUAGCACUUGGUGGUAAAUAUUAGAUACUGAAAUUUUCUGUUUAUAUUAAAUAAUUCCUAUAUCUGGGAGAAUUGUUUAUCCAGCCACUGACGUUUAACCCAGUUUUGACUCCUUUGCUAUAAAUUAAAUUUCUUCUCCGUUUUGCUUUCCUUUUGACUCUAUUCUUCAUUGUUUUAAGGGUGACAGAACAUGGGACACCAAAGCCCUUCCGGAAGUAAGUAACUCUUAAGUAGCUUCCAAUAAAGAGCUACGUUCAAUAAAGGAUUCUUAAAGUCUAAGAAAUAGAGCUUUUUCUCCUAAAUUUCUAGUUUUU
rnacentral:lncRNA from 1 species